rnacentral:other from 1 species
AUAAUCCUGAAAUGUUCGAAUGAACCUAUUAUUUUGAACCUACACAUUUUAUACGGGAGUUCGCGUUUAGAGGAAGAUACCAGGCCUCAGAAUAAUACCGCCGCAAAGCUUAAGCUUUUGCGCAACGGCAGAGGAAGGUUGAAUCCUUUAACAGAACACCCACCUGGCGAUAGGGCUAGGUGUCAAAAUUUAGGUAACGGCAUUUCGGGAUUAAU